rnacentral:rRNA from 1 species
ACGAACGCUGGCGGCAUGCCUAACACAUGCAAGUCGCACGAGACCUUCGGGUCUAGUGGCGCACGGGUGCGUAACGCGUGGGAACCUGCCCUUAGGUUCGGAAUAACUCCCCGAAAGGGGUGCUAAUACCGGAUAAUGUCUUCGGACCAAAGAUUUAUCGCCUUUGGAUGGGCCCGCGUUGGAUUAGCUAGUUGGUAGGGUAAAAGCCUACCAAGGCGACGAUCCAUAGCUGGUCUGAGAGGAUGAUCAGCCACACUGGGACUGAGACACGACCCAGACUCCUACGGGAGGCAGCAGUGGGGAAUAUUGGACAAUGGGCGAAAGCCUGAUCCAGCAAUGCCGCGUGAGUGAUGAAGGCCUUAGGGUUGUAAAGCUCUUUUACCCGGGAUGAUAAUGACAGUACCGGGAGAAUAAGCUCCGGCUAACUCCGUG